ACACAUGCAAGUCGAGGGGCAGCAUUUCAGUUUGCUUGCAAACUGGAGAUGGCGACCGGCGCACGGGUGAGUAACACGUAUCCAACCUGCCGAUAACUCGGGGAUAGCCUUUCGAAAGAAAGAUUAAUACCCGAUGGUAUAAUCAGACCGCAUGGUCUUGUUAUUAAAGAAUUUCGGUUAUCGAUGGGGAUGCGUUCCAUUAGGCAGUUGGUGAGGUAACGGCUCACCAAACCUUCGAUGGAUAGGGGUUCUGAGAGGAAGGUCCCCCACAUUGGAACUGAGACACGGUCCAAACUCCUACGGGAGGCAGCAGUGAGGAAUAUUGGUCAAUGGGCGCAGGCCUGAACCAGCCAAGUAGCGUGAAGGAUGACUGCCCUAUGGGUUGUAAACUUCUUUUAUAUGGGAAUAAAGUUUUCCACGUGUGGAAUUUUGUAUGUACCAUAUGAAUAAGGAUCGGCUAACUCCGUGCCAGCAGCCGCGGUAAUACGGAGGAUCCGAGCGUUAUCCGGAUUUAUUGGGUUUAAAGGGAGCGUAGGUGGACAGUUAAGUCAGUUGUGAAAGUUUGCGGCUCAACCGUAAAAUUGCAGUUGAUACUGGGUGUCUUGAGUACAGUAGAGGCAGGCGGAAUUCGUGGUGUAGCGGUGAAAUGCUUAGAUAUCACGAAGAACUCCGAUUGCGAAGGCAGCUUGCUGGACUGUAACUGACGCUGAUGCUCGAAAGUGUGGGUAUCAAACAGGAUUAGAUACCCUGGUAGUCCACACUGUAAACGAUGAAUGCUAGGUGUAGGG
rnacentral:rRNA from 1 species